GAUGAUCUUCAGAUUCAUUACAUGCUCUACUGGAAGCUGGAAGCCAGUCUCUUACUUUCAGAAUGAAGAUCAGAGGGAUGAUCGUCUGGAGGUGAUCACUGAUGAUGAAAAAGAGGCUGAGGAAGGAGAGGAUGGCAGAGAUGGCUUCCAUGGAUUAGGAUGGUAUGAGGUCGGGAUUGACUGGACAAUGAUGGAUGAAAACAGCCUGAGCAAUGG